AGUUUUUCUGUGUAGCCCUGGCUGUCCUGGAACUCACUCUGUAGACCAGGCUGGCCUUGAACUCAGAAAUCCACCUUCCUCUGCCUCCCGAGUGCUGGGAUUAAAGGCGUGCGCCACCACUGCCCG
ensembl:miRNA